rnacentral:rRNA from 1 species
GUGUCAGCAGCCGCGGUAAUACGGAGGGUGCAAGCGUUAUCCGGAUUCACUGGGUUUAAAGGGUGCGUAGGUGGGCAGGUAAGUCAGUGGUGAAAUCUCUGGGCUUAACUCAGAAACUGCCAUUGAUACUAUCUUUCUUGAAUACCGUGGAGGUCAGCGGAAUAUGUCAUGUAGCGGUGAAAUGCUUAGAUAUGACAUAGAACACCAAUUGCGAAGGCAGCUGGCUACACGAAUAUUGACACUGAUGCACGAAAGCGUGGGGAUCAAACAGGAUUAGAAACCCGCGUAGUCC